GCCCGGCUAGCUCAAUCGGUAGAGCGUGAGACUCUUAAAGACUCCCAAGACUGCUAAGGGUCCUUAGGUUCACACAUCUCAAGGUUGUGGGUUCGACCCCCACGUCGGGCU